AGAGUUUGAUCAUGGCUCAGGAUGACGCUGGCGGCGUGCUUAACACAUGCAAGUCGAACGGUGAAAGAGGAGCUUGCUCCUCUGGAUCAGUGGCGAACGGGUGAGUAACACGUGAGUAACCUGCCCUUGACUCUGGGAUAAGCACUGGAAACGGUGUCUAAUACCGGAUACGACCUCCGAAGGCAUCUUCUGGAGGUGGAAAGAAUUUCGGUCAAGGAUGGACUCGCGGCCUAUCAGCUAGUUGGUGAGGUAAUGGCCCACCAAGGCGACGACGGGUAGCCGGCCUGAGAGGGUGACCGGCCACACUGGGACUGAGACACGGCCCAGACUCCUACGGGAGGCAGCAGUGGGGAAUAUUGCACAAUGGGCGCAAGCCUGAUGCAGCAACGCCGCGUGAGGGACGACGGCCUUCGGGUUGUAAACCUCUUUUAGUAGGGAAGAAGCGAAAGUGACGGUACCUGCAGAAAAAACACCGGCUAACUACGUGCCAGCAGCCGCGGUAAUACGUAGGGUGCAAGCGUUAUCCGGAAUUAUUGGGCGUAAAGAGCUCGUAGGCGGUUUGUCGCGUCUGCUGUGAAAACUGGAGGCUCAACCUCCAGCCUGCAGUGGGUACGGGCAGACUAGAGUGCGGUAGGGGAGAUUGGAAUUCCUGGUGUAGCGGUGGAAUGCGCAGAUAUCAGGAGGAACACCGAUGGCGAAGGCAGAUCUCUGGGCCGUAACUGACGCUGAGGACGAAAGCAUGGGGAGCGAACAGGAUUAGAUACCCUAGUAGUCC
rnacentral:rRNA from 1 species